GUUUAAAGUUUCAUGCACGAGUGAAUUCAGGUAGUUUAAAGUCAUUCGAGACAUUGCAGUUAAAGUGACCAGUAGCACUUUUCCAAAUAAAUAAUAUAAUAAUUUUAUAUUAUUUAUUUUCAGAUUUGUUCAUCUUUAGUAUGCGGUAACCAGUACCAGCUGAGAAUGUUCGGUGUAUUUACACAAAAACAUUGAUUUCAUUAUACAUAUACGAAUAAUAAAAUGUGCACUUGUCUCUGCAAGUGGCGUCUCCCA
rnacentral:lncRNA from 1 species